AGAGCAUACGGUGGAUGCCUUGGCGAUAUCUGCCGACGAAGGACGUGACAAGCUGCGAAAAGCUGCGGAGAGAUGCAAAUAAUCGGCGACCCGCAGACAUCCGAAUGGAGAAAUCCGGCUGUGAUGAUGCACAGCCAUCCAUGCCCAAGAGCAUGAGAAGGGAACCGGGCGAACUGAAACAUCUAAGUAACCCGAGGAAAAGAAAUCAAACGAGAUACCCCAAGUAGCGGCGAGCGAACAGGGAAGAAGCCCAAACCGGUGAAGGAAACUUUGCCGGGGUUGAGGACCAUCAGACCCGCGAAGAACUUUAGCCGAAACUGUUGGGAAACAGUGCCGAAGACAGUGAAAGCCUGGUAGGCGAAAAAGAGAAACGCGGAGAUGGCACCAGAGUACCGCGGGACACGAGAAAUCCCGUGGGAAGCAGGGGGGACCACCCUCCAAGGCAAAACACAGAUAUCGACCGAUAGCGCAUAGUACCAUGAGGGAAAGGUGAAAAGCACCCCGGGAGGGGAAUGAAAGAGAACCUGAAACCGUAUGUUUACAAGCAGUCGGAGACCGCUUAAUAAUAAGGUCGACGGCGUGCCUAUUGAAGAAUGAACCGGCGAGUUACGAAGCCUGGCAAGGUUAAGCAGGAAAUGCGGAGCCGAAGCGAAAGCGAGUCUUAAGAGGGCGCAAGUCAGGAAGCGUAGACCCGAAACCACAGUGAUCUACCCAUGUCCAGGUUGAAACACAGGUAAAAAUGUGUGGAGGACCGAACCUAUAUCCGUUGAAAAGGGUUAGGAUGAGGUGUGGGUAGGGGUGAAAUUCCAAUCGAACGUGGAGAUAGCUGGUUCUCCCCGAAAUAGCUUUAGGGCUAGCCUCAGGGAAAAGAUUGCAGGCGGUAGAGCACUGAUCAGGAGAGGGACCUACCCGGUUACCAAACCCAGUCAAACUCCGAAUGGCUGCAAUCAUACCUGGGAGUCAGACUGCGACUAAUAAGGGCCGCAGUCAAAAGGGAAACAGCCCAGACCAUCAGCUAAGGUCCCCAAUGCCGUGCUAAGUGGCAAAGGAUGUGGCAUUUCAUAAACAACCAGGAUGUUGGCUCAGAAGCAGCCACCAUUUAAAGAGUGCGUAAUAGCUCACUGGUCGAGAGACGCUGCGCCGAAAAUGUCCGGGGCUCAAGCACGGAACCGAAGCUAUGGCAUGAUAGCAAUAUCAUGGGUAGGGGAGCGUUCUUAUAAGGAAGAAGCAUGACCGGAAGGACAUGUGGACAAAUAAGAAGUGAGAAUGCCGGUAUGAGUAUCGAAAAGAAAGGUGAGAAUCCUUUCCACCGAAAGCCCGAGGGUUCCUGAGCAACGAUCGUCGACUCAGGGUAAGUCGGGACCUAAGCCGAGGCGAGAAGCGUAGGCGAUGGACAACAGGUUGAAAUUCCUGUACCGGAUCAAGUCGAUCGAGCGAAGGAGCGACGCAGGAGGGCACAUGAUCGCGCGGCUGGAAGAGCGCGUCCAAGUGCGUAUGUUGCUGCAGAGGAAAACCCCUGCAGCUAAAAGCAGAGACAUGAAGGGGAGUUAAAGGAAACUUUGACGAACUCAUGGAUCCCACACUGCCAAGAAAAACUUCUAGCGAGACAAGAUCCGCCCGUACCGUAAACCGACACAGGUAGGCGGGGAGAGAAUCCUAAGGUGCGCGGGAAAACCCUCGUUAAGGAACUCGGCAAAUUGCAUCCGUAACCUAGGGAGAAGGAUGGCCCCCGGUCAGUGAAGAGCAGAAACGCUCAGAGCUAAAAGGGGCGGCAGAAAAGAGGCCCAAGCAACUGUUUACCAAAAACACAGGUGCCUGCGAAAGCGAAAGCUGAAGUAUAGGUGCUGACGCCUGCCCGGUGCCGGAAGGUUAAGGAGAGAAGUUAGCGAAAGCGAAGCAUCGAACUGAAGCCCCGGUGAACGGCGGCCGUAACUAUAACGGUCCUAAGGUAGCGAAAUUCCUUGUCGGGUAAGUUCCGACCCGCAUGAAAGGCGUAAUGAUUUGGGCACUGUCUCAACGAGGGGCCCGGUGAAAUUGAAAUACCUGUGAAGAUGCAGGUUACCCGCGACUGGACAGAAAGACCCCAUGGAGCUUCACUGCAGCUUGAGAUUGAAUCCCGGUGACAGAUGCACAGGAUAGGUGGGAGGCGCCGAAGCAUUGCCCUAGGGCGGUGCGGAGCCGAUGUUGGGAUACCACCCUUCUGUUGCUGAGAUUCUAACGCGAGGAGUAACGACCCUGCGGACCCUCUCAGGCAGGCGGUUUGACUGGGGCGGUCGCCUCCGAAAGAGUAACGGAGGCGCCCAAAGGUUCCCU
rnacentral:rRNA from 1 species